AACGAACGCUGGCGGCAUGCCUAACACAUGCAAGUCGAACGAAGGCUUCGGCCUUAGUGGCGCACGGGUGCGUAACGCGUGGGAAUCUACCCUUAGGUUCGGAAUAACAGUUAGAAAUGACUGCUAAUACCGGAUGAUGACGUAAGUCCAAAGAUUUAUCGCCUAAGGAUGAGCCCGCGUAGGAUUAGCUUGUUGGUGAG
rnacentral:rRNA from 1 species